GCCGGAGUGGUGGAACUGGUAGACGCGCCGGACUCAAAAUCCGGUAGGGGAGACCCUGUGCGGGUUCGAUUCCCGCCUCCGGCA
rnacentral:tRNA from 1 species